rnacentral:rRNA from 1 species
AUUGAACGCUAGCGGGAUGCUUUACACAUGCAAGUCGAACGAGUGGCGGACGGGUGAGUAAUAUAUCGGAACGUGCCUAGUAGCGGGGGAUAACUACUCGAAAGAGUGUCUAAUACCGCAUACUAUUGGAGCUGCCGAUAUCGUCUUAGCUAGGUGGUGGGGUAAAGGCUCACCAAGGCAACGAUCCCUAGCUGGUCUGAGAGGACGACCAGCCACACUGGGACUGAGACACGGCCCAGACUCCUACGGGAGGCAGCAGUGGGGAAUUUUGGACAAUUGGGGAAACCCUGAUCCAGCCAUCCCGCGUGUAUGAGAAGGCCUUCGGGUUGUAAAGUACUUUUGGCAGAGAAGCGGUAUCUGCAGAAGAAGCACCGGCUAACUACGUGCCAGCAGCCGCGGUAAUAC